UAUGCCUUUACUAGUUAUCUCCCCCUUAAUUUUUACUUACUUUUUAAUAUCCCUAAACUGAACAAUUAUCUCGAUCAAUUCUUCAACAAAUAUAUAUCAACGACAGAGGUAGUAUUACCGAGAGGUAAUAUUUAUCCCCACUUAAAUGUCGAUGCUUUGUUAGAACAAAUUAUACUUUAGGGGAUAAUUUAAUAUUUCUCACGGAAAUACUAAACAACGGCUACAAAAUCAGCAAAUACACCGUUACUAUGUAAACUUGUAAUACUUUCUCAAUACAAAUACUUGUCUCAACAAUGAGUUUGUCUUUAAGGACAGAUUUUGCAUUGGACAAAAACAAGAAGAAGAAGAAGAGGGAGUUGGCUGACGAGCAAAAGCAGGAAAUCAGGGAAGCUUUUGACCUCUUUGACACAGAUAAAGAUGGCGCUAUUGACUACUAUGAACUUAAGGUGUGCAUGAGGGCUUUGGGUUUUGAAGUGAAAAAAGACAAUGUGCUAAAAAUACUUUAUGAUUAUGAUAUUGAGGAGACAGGCAAAAUCACAUUUGAUGAUUUCAAUGAAGUCAUGACUGAUUUAAUGCUCCAGAGAGAUCCUCAGACGGAACUUCUAAAGGCGUUCAAACUGUUUGAUGAUGAUGAGACUGGAAAAAUAAGCCUAAGGAACUUGAGGAGAGUUGCAAGGGAACUGGGUGAAAACUUGAAUGAUGAUGAACUUCGAGCUAUGAUUGAUGAAUUUGAUAAAGAUGGUGAUGGAGAGAUUGAUGAAGAAGAAUUCCUCUCAAUCAUGACAGGUGACACCUGAAGCUGAGGUUUUCUGUCCAACCUUGCUUCAACACCAAUCAGCUUAACUAAGGACAUGACUGACACUGAAAACUAAAACACUGCUGGAACCAACACAACAGCCUCAGCUGCAACACACACACAGUAUCAACACCACCAACAACAACAAUAACAACACCAAACUUCCACUAAUAUAGCAUUUUUACUGUCACCAACAUCUCCAUUAACUGCAGCAAUGCCACCACUAAUAACACCAACACAACAACCAAUGAUACCAUGACUAGGAUCCUCCAUGUGGUAGUGAAAUAUAGUAGAGAUAGCAGCCAAAUCUCUUUCAAAUCACACCCUACUAAAUUAAUGUAUGUAUAUAUUAUGUGUGAAUGAUCCAGCAAAGGAGACCUCUGCAUGGUAGUUAAACCUGGUAGAAAUAAGUCAACUCCCUCAACUCACUCGCUAUUGUCUUAUGUAUGUAUAUCUAUAUAUAUAUGUAUGAACCAGCAAAAGAAGAUUUCUACAUAUUUACUAGACCUUGUAGAAAAUGCAACGAAACCUCUCUUAGAGCAUCUUAGAAGAUGCAUUAAUUAUGUGGCCUUGAGUUUCCUGAGCAUCAGAAAAAAUUGGAUAGUCAUAGCUGCAAUGCCUUUGAACUUAAAUCUACUUGGUCAGAGAUGACCUUGGGCUAAAUAGCAACAGAAGCAACCAACACUACACACUAGAGAGCUUCUACAUGGUUGCUCCACCUGUAGAAAUGGCAGCCAAAUCUCCAUCAAAUCACAGUCUUGUGUAUGUAUUACCCAACAAAGAAGACCUUUGUAUAAUAGUAGAAAAAUAUCAGUGAAAUCACCAUCAAACCACACUCCACUGUUUUAUGUAUGUAUAUAUGUAUGCAUCAGCCAACAAAAGCAACCUUUCUAUAAUAGCUAGAUCUGCUAAAAAUAUCUGCCAAAUUUGCAUCAAAUUGCCCUUUGCUCUCUUAAAUAAAGAACACAUCAAAUAAUGUUGUAUUUGUAGAAAAAUACUACAGUAACUGUAGAAAAAGAUGAUGAUGAAUACUUUUGGUCAUACGUUUGCUCAAUCAGGACUAACCUGAGACUACACAACAACAAUUUAUUACAUUAAGACCACUCAUCACUGGUACUAUCAUUACUGCAUGGCAACUACCAGUUCUACAUAGUGUACCACAGCAAAUCACCACCAUGGCUGCCAACACAACCAUCAACAUGAACAUGACCAUUAAAAUGUGAACAGUCACCAGCAAUGGUUAACUGCUACCAGCAGCAGGAUGGCCAACAGCAACUCACGGCCACCAACACUAGCAUUGAUGCCAAGUGUUGCUACCAUUUGCAUUAUCCGGAUUUUUUAAUACCAAAUAUACAUCCUCUGCUGGUAUAUAUAUAUAUAUAUAUACCAGCAGAAAAAAAAAUAUGUAUAUACAUAUAUAUUUAUUCUGAAAGGCAGAUAAAAGUGACUGAACAGAUAAUAUAAUCAAAAGUGUGUUACAGAAAAGUCAGCUGGGCUACUGGAUCAAUAAUUUGUUCAAUCAAACUCUGUACAUUAGCACUAUAUAUAUAUGUGUGUGUAUACAUAUAUAUAUAUAUAGAGAGAGAGAGAGAGAAGCAGUUUCACAAAUUGUGUGUAGGCUUUAAUAAAUGUGCAAAAGGCGUUCAGCUCGCAAUAUUCCCAGGCACAUGUUAGGGGCCAUUGUGUAUAUUGUUGGUAAAGUUGUUGAUUACAUCUGGUUCAGUUUCACAUUCAGAACCCUAAUAAAAUAUUCUUCAUUGGAAGGAGUUUACUUUCA